rnacentral:rRNA from 1 species
UACGUAGGGUGCAAGCGUUAAUCGGAAUUACUGGGCGUAAAGCGUGCGCAGGCGGUUUUGUAAGACUUUCGUGAAAUCCCCGGGCUUAACCUGGGAAUGGCGAUGGUGACUGCAAGGCUAGAGUUUGGCAGAGGGGGGUAGAAUUCCACGUGUAGCAGUGAAAUGCGUAGAGAUGUGGAGGAAUACCGAUGGCGAAGGCAGCCCCCUGGGUCAAGACUGACGCUCAUGCACGAAAGCGUGGGGAGCAAACAGG